CACCUUCUCCUCGAUCUCCCAUUCCCUUAUGUGAUGCACCAUCGUCGAUCUAUCCCCCCCUGCCCAAGAAUUUGGGCGCGGGCCUGGGAUGGGGCUCCCCGAGGUCCAGUGUCCCAUGGCCGGCGGUGCCGCCUCACCAGGCACGGCUUGUGCCUUCGUGCUUUCUCCGGACUCCUCCCUCUUCCUAGCGGCUCGAGCCAACAACGACGGGCCGGUCAGGUUCGCCCGCGAAGCGCGUGGCCACGAUGGCCUACACGCGAGCGAUGGGAAGGCGGGGAGGAGGAAGAGGCGGGCCGAUGGAGGAGUAGCAGCAGGGUGGUGGCGGGGCUCCUAGGGUGGAGAAGAAGGAGGAGGAGGUGGUGGGAGGGAGUGGCGGCGGGUGAGGGAGGAAGGAGCGAGGGGCGUGGGGGUCUGGAUU
rnacentral:rRNA from 1 species